UUCAAUCAAAUUCAGUUGGUCAUAACGACUCUGAAUCCAUUCAGCAUCAGUCAACUAGGGACUUGAGGGUAUACUUUUUCUUUUUUCUUUUGAAAAAAGAUUUUGAAAUAAUUUUCCUGAUUUUUGAUUUUUUCAUCUUUUUCACCCUCUUUUAUUUUUUUUUUUUUUUUUUUACAUUACAUUUGUAAUGCCCCAGUUUGACUGUUUUGCUGAUUCUCAUGAUACAGCUGAAUGAGCUCCUUUUGUGCUCAAGAAGGCGGGUAAUCUCAUCAGGAAUCC
rnacentral:lncRNA from 1 species